AAUAAACGAGUUUUCGUGUCCAAUUUUAAUCGUCCGUCUUAUUUUAAUUUUUUUACAAUUAGUAUUUUUAAUGUUAUUAGAUUAUAAAACAUGAAUUGUACUUUACACGUGACUUAUGUUUUUUUUUUAUUUUUUAAAAAACAAUUUCAAAUAAGACGAACGAUUAAAGUUAAAAUUAGACAAAGAAACUCAUGGCUACAUUUAUU
rfam:Oryza rufipogon genomic scaffold, chr03